rnacentral:rRNA from 1 species
UACGAAGGGGGCUAGCGUUGUUCGGAUUUACUGGGCGUAAAGCGCACGUAGGCGGAUUGUUAAGUCAGGGGUGAAAUCCCGGAGCUAACUCCGGAACUGCCUUUGAUACUGGGGAUCUCGAGUCCGGGAGAGGUGAGUGGAACUGCGAGUGUAGAGGUGAAAUUCGUAGAUAUUCGCAAGAACACCAGUGGCGAAGGCGGCUCACUGGCCCGGUACUGACGCUGAGGUGCGAAAGCGUGGGGAGCAAACAGG